GGCUCAGCGCCCCAGGCCCGGAGACUGGUGACGCCCCGCAGGCCCGGCCCUGAUUGGCCAGGGGCCUGGCAUUAUAUAAAGGGCGGAGCUGGCCGGGCAGGCAGAGUGCCCUGCUGCCUCAUCCUGUGCGAUGUCGUGCCUCUCUGCCCUGGGCCUGCUGGCCCUGCUGGCCCUGACUGGCGUGAACGCCAUUAAGCAGACUCCAAAGAUUCAAGUAUAUUCCCGUCACCCAGCUGAAAAUGGGAAGCCAAACUACUUGAACUGCUAUGUAUCUGGGUUUCAUCCACCCCAGAUUGAAGUAGAAUUGUUGAAAAAUGGGGAAAAGAUGGAAAAGGUAGAGAAGUCAGACCUUUCUUUCAGCAAGGACUGGACUUUCUAUCUCCUGGUGCAUACCAACUUCACCCCCAAUGACAACGAUGAAUAUUCCUGCAGGGUUUUACACGUCACUCUGGAGGAACCCAAGAUAGUUAAGUGGGAUCGAAACAAAUAACCAGCAUCACGAAGAUUUGAAGACACCUCAUUUGGACAAUUUCAAAUUGUUUCUUUGCAUUUUAAAUUUGAUAAGCUUGUAUACUUUAUGCACUCAGCAAGGAAAUUAUAAUAACAUUAAUGUAGACAUUAUCUUCUUUAUAAUUCUACUUUGAGCACUGUCUUUAGAUUUGUCUUUCCCUGGAAUCUAGACUUUCAGGGAAAAAAAAACAACCCUGAAUACUAAGAUAUUGGAUCCUAACUAUCUUAAAAGGAACAAAAAAACCUUUGAUUGGAACUUUAUGUAUAAAAACUAUUCUGAUACUUUGGAGAGCUACAAGAAAGGCUGGUUUAUAAAAAAA